rnacentral:rRNA from 1 species
GAUGAACGCUGGCGGCGUGCCUAAUACAUGCAAGUCGAGCGAACAGACGAGGAGCUUGCUCCUCUGACGUUAGCGGCGGACGGGUGAGUAACACGUGGAUAACCUACCUAUAAGACUGGGAUAACUUCGGGAAACCGGAGCUAAUACCGGAUAAUAUAUUGAACCGCAUGGUUCAAUAGUGAAAGACGGUUUUGCUGUCACUUAUAGAUGGAUCCGCGCUGCAUUAGCUAGUUGGUAAGGUAACGGCUUACCAAGGCAACGAUGCAUAGCCGACCUGAGAGGGUGAUCGGCCACACUGGAACUGAGACACGGUCCAGACUCCUACGGGAGGCAGCAGUAGGGAAUCUCCCGCAAUGGGCGAAAGCCUGACGGAGCAACGCCGCGUGAGUGAUGAAGGUCUUCGGAUCGUAAAACUCUGUUAUUAGGGAAGAACAAAUGUGUAAGUAACUAUGCACGUCUUGACGGUACCUAAUCAGAAAGCCACGGCUAACUACGUG